rnacentral:rRNA from 1 species
CGCCAGACUCCUACGGGAGGCAGCAGUGGGGAAUAUUGCACAAUGGGGGAAACCCUGAUGCAGCGACGCCGCGUGAAGGAAGAAGUAUCUCGGUAUGUAAACUUCUAUCAGCAGGGAAGAAAACAGACGGUACCUGACUAUGAAGCCCCGGCUAACUACGCGCCAGCAGCCGCGGUAAUACGUAGGGGGCAAGCGUUAUCCGGAAUUACUGGGUGUAAAGGGAGCGUAGACGGUGAUGCAAGUCUGGAGUGGAAGGCGGGGGCCCAACCCCCGGACUGCUCUGGAAACUGUAUGACUUGAGUGCAGGAGAGGUAAGCGGAAUUCCUAGUGUAGCGGUGAAAUGCGUAGAUAUUAGGAGGAACACCAGUGGCGAAGGCGGCUUACUGGACUGUAACUGACGUUGAGGCUCGAAAGCGUGGGGAGCAAACAGGAUUAGAUACCCUUGUAC